rnacentral:rRNA from 1 species
UGGGGAAUAUUGCACAAUGGGCGCAAGCCUGAUGCAGCGACGCCGCGUGAGGGAUGGAGGCCUUCGGGUUGUAAACCUCUUUCGCCAGUGAAGCAGGCCAUCUUCUUUGUGGGGUGGUUGACGGUAGCUGGAUAAGAAGCGCCGGCUAACUACGUGCCAGCAGCCGCGGUAAUACGUAGGGCGCGAGCGUUGUCCGGAAUUAUUGGGCGUAAAGAGCUCGUAGGCGGCUGGUCGCGUCUGUCGUGAAAUCCCCUGGCUUAACUGGGGGCUUGCGGUGGGUACGGGCCGGCUUGAGUGUGGUAGGUGAGACUGGAAUUCCUGGUGUAGCGGUGGAAUGCGCAGAUAUCAGGAGGAACACCGGUGGCGAAGGCGGGUCUCUGGGCCGUUACUGACGCUGAGGAGCGAAAGCGUGGGGAGCGAACAGG